rnacentral:rRNA from 1 species
AUUGAACGCUAGCGGCAUGCCUAACACAUGCAAGUCGAACGAGUGGCGGACGGGUGAGUAAUAUAUGGGAACGUGCCCAGUAGAGGGGGAUAACUACUGGAAAGAGUGGCUAAUCCCGCAUACUAUCGGAGCGGGCGAUAUCGGAUUAGCUAGUGGGUGGGGUAAAGGCUCACCAAGGAAACGAUGACGAGCAGGUUUGAGAGGAAGACCAGCCACACUGGGACUGAGACACGGCCCAGACUCCGACGGGAGGCAGCAGUGGGGAAUGUUGGACAAUGGGGGAAACCCUGAUCCAGGCAUCCGGGUGAGAUGAGAAGUCCUUGGGGUUGUAAAGGACGUUUGGCAGAGAAGCGGUAUCUGCAGAGUAAGCACCGGCUAACUACGUGCCAGCCGCCGCGGUAAUAC